GAUGAACGCUGGCGGCGUGCUUAACACAUGCAAGUCGAACGAUGAUGCCCAGCUUGCUGGGUGGAUUAGUGGCGAACGGGUGAGUAACACGUGAGUAACCUGCCCUUGACUCUGGGAUAAGCCUGGGAAACUGGGUCUAAUACCGGAUACGACCAUCUGGCGCAUGUCAUGGUGGUGGAAAGCUUUUGUGGUUUUGGAUGGACUCGCGGCCUAUCAGCUUGUUGGUGGGGUAAUGUCCUACCAAGGCGACGACGGGUAGCCGGCCUGAGAGGGUGACCGGCCACACUGGGACUGAGACACGGCCCAGACUCCUACGGGAGGCAGCAGUGGGGAAUAUUGCACAAUGGGCGCAAGCCUGAUGCAGCGACGCCGCGUGAGGGAUGACGGCCUUCGGGUUGUAAACCUCUUUCAGUAGGGAAGAAGCGAAAGUGACGGUACCUGCAGAAGAAGCGCCGGCUAACUACGUG
rnacentral:rRNA from 1 species